rnacentral:rRNA from 1 species
UACGUAGGUGGCAAGCGUUAUCCGGAAUUACUGGGCGUAAAGCGCACGCAGGCGGUCUUGUAAGUUUGACGUGAAAGCUCCCGGCUUAACUGGGAGAGGUCGUUGAAGACUGCAGGACUUGAGGAAAUGAGAGGGGUGUAGAAUUCCUGGUGUAGUGGUGGAAUGCGUAGAUAUCAGGAGGAAUACCAGUGGCGAAAGCGGCACCCUAGCAUUUUUCUGACGCUCAUGUGCGAAAGCGUGGGGAGCGAACGGG